AUUGGACGCUGGCGGCAGGCCUAACACAUGCAAGUCGAGCGGAUGAAGGGAGCUUGCUCCUGGAUUCAGCGGCGGACGGGUGAGUAAUGCCUAGGAAUCUGCCUGGUAGUGGGGGAUAACGUCCGGAAACGGGCGCUAAUACCGCAUACGUCCUGAGGGAGAAAGUGGGGGAUCUUCGGACCUCACGCUAUCAGAUGAGCCUAGGUCGGAUUAGCUAGUUGGUGGGGUAGAGGCCUACCAAGGCGACGAUCCGUAACUGGUCUGAGAGGAUGAUCAGUCACACUGGAACUGAGACACGGUCCAGACUCCUACGGGAGGCAGCAGUGGGGAAUAUUGGACAAUGGGCGAAAGCCUGAUCCAGCCAUGCCGCGUGUGUGAAGAAGGUCUUCGGAUUGUAAAGCACUUUAAGUUGGGAGGAAGGGCAGUAAGUUAAUACCUUGCUGUUUUGACGUUACCAACAGAAUAAGCACCGGCUAACUUCGUG
rnacentral:rRNA from 1 species